GUUGCCAAUGGAAAUGGAGAGAAACAUACUUAAGAUAUAUUUUGGAAAUCAAGUCAACAGAUUCACCAAUUAAUUAAUUGGAUUCAAGGAAGAAGGAAGAGUUAAAUACAAAGGAGCACCCUAGGAUUUUUUACCCAAUCUUACAGGCAUUAUUCUUUGUAUUCAUGAACAUUUUACAUUAUUCCAUGAUGAAGAAUCUAUACCUCUAGAGAAGCCUGCUAUGCUCAUCUUUCUGGUCAUGAAACAUAUCUGUUAUCAGUGCUUUAAAAUGGACCAUGUGAGCACUGGGUAUUGUAUGUAAGUGAUGAAUCACUAAAUUCUACUCUUGAAACCAAUACUACACUGUAUGUUAACUAACUUGAAUUUAAAUAAAUACAUUUAAAAGUAAAUAAAUAAAUAAUUUAAAAAUGUUUUAAUGAGCCAUGUGAACACCUAGGAUAUUUCACCCCUUUCCCAUGACUAGACUUAGAAAAUUUAUUCAAAAUUAUUUUGUGUGACCAUCCCUCAUUUCCCAGUUAAGUUACUGAACCUAGAUUCUUUCGUUCAUCCUUACAUUUACAGUUUUCACUUACUUUUCUUUUAUUUUUAUCCAGUUGACAGCCAGAAUCUCAUCUUUCCUAUUGGGUUUCUCCUCUUAAUUAAGUGAUUUAAUAGUCUAUGCUGAAAAGCUUCUGCCUCACUCUAUUUUCAUUAAAGAAACAUUUCCUGAUUGUCAAUUGUACUAAGGAAUAUGAGGAAGGCAUUUAAAAAAAAAAAAA